rnacentral:tRNA from 1 species
AGUACUACGUGGGGUGUGAUCCAGUUACUUUGAUGGAGUAAAGUUCAAAUUGAUUAUUUUAGUGCUU